UAGUAACGGCGAGUGAAGCGGGAUGAGCUCAAAUUUAAAAUCUGGCUGGUUUACUAGUCCGAAUUGUAKUUUAUAGAARCGUUUUCGGUGGCAGCCUGGGUAUAAGUCCUUUGGAAUAGGGUAUCAUAGAGGGUGAGAAUCCCGUCUUUGACUCAKKGCAUGCUACUAUGUGAUACGUUUUCAAARAGUCRAGUUGUUUGGRAAUGCAGCUCAAAAUGGGUGGUAAAUUUCAUCUAAAGCUAAWUAUUGGCGAGAGACCGAUAGCGAACAAGUACCGUGAGGGAAAGAUGAAAAGAACUUUGAAAAGAGAGUUAAACAGUGCGUGAAAUUGUUGAAAGGGAAACGCUUGACACCAGUUAUGCGGGUGGAAAAUCASUCUUUUGCAAUGGGGAGUUGUGGGCGUUCASACCGCAAGGCUGGCGUUUGCUUCAUCUUUGUUGUAAGUGAUGCRCUUUUUCAUUUGCAGGUCAACAUCASUUUGCUUUGCUGGACAAAACUCCAAGGGAAGGUGGCAGCUUAGGCUGUGUUAUAGCCCUGGAGCGAUACARUGRAGUGGACUGAGGUUUCGCAGUGUGUGCUUUUAKCAAGGCUGACUGGGUGCUAUGGGAUCSUUCGGCGWACAAUGCAUGCAUUUUGCKUCGWGYCUUUUUCAUACUCGCUCAACUCGGCUCUUCCACGCUUAGRAKGUUGACUUAAUGRUUUUAAUCGACCCGWCUUGAAACACGGACCAAGGAGUCUAACAUAUAUGCAAGUGUUUGGGUGGCAAACCCAUGCGCGUAAUGAAAGUGAACGUAGGUGCGAUCCGCAAGGUGCAGCAUCGACCGAUCUUGAUAUUUUUGGAUAGAUUUGAGUAAGAGCAUAUAUGCUGGGGACCCGAAAGAUGGUGAACUAUGCCUGAAUAGGGUGAAGCCAGAGGAAACUCUGGUGGAGGCUCGUAGCGAUUCUGACGUGCAAAUCGAUCGUCAAAUUUGGGUAUAGGGGCGAAAGACUAAUCGAA
rnacentral:rRNA from 1 species